CCGGCUUACCAACCCGAUGCAAACUGCGAAUACCGGAGAAUGUUAUCACGGGAGACACACGGCGGGUGCUAACGUCCGUCGUGAAGAGGGAAACAACCCAGACCGCCAGCUAAGGUCCCAAAGUCAUGGUUAAGUGGGAAACGAUGUGGGAAGGCCCAGACAGCCAGGAUGUUGGCUUAGAAGCAGCCAUCAUUUAAAGAAAGCGUAAUAGCUCACUGGUCGAGUCGGCCUGCGCGGAAGAUGUAACGGGGCUAAACCAUGCACCGAAGCUGCGGCAGCGACACUGUGUGUUGUUGGGUAGGGGAGCGUUCUGUAAGCCUGUGAAGGUGUGUCGUGA
rnacentral:rRNA from 1 species